GACAACUCUUUGGAGAUUUAGUUCUCUUGCUUGGAUACCGCUAAUAAGAAACUUCUCUCUCCGCUUCAAUAUACAAGCCUUUAACAGUGUAGUUGCCGGCAUGAAGUUCCUCUCUCUCUUUCUCCAUUUCAACAACUCAGGUCACUGAACCGAGACCGCCUGAGGUCGUAGGGGGAGGUCGCAAGAACGAGAUCACGACCUUGCAUCCUCCGGAGAUGGAGGGCUUUCAACGUCACUGGGGUGGCACGGUGUAGAGCGGUGCACAUGAGGUGGGAGAGGAGAGAAAAGGUGUGCUAAACUUAUAAAAUGUGUAGCAUCAAGGGUAGAGUUUGGGUAGAGUUUAAGUUUUUGUGAUUUGGUUGAGGCGUUUGGUCUUCCAGUCUUAAUCUUUGCUUGUACACUUUUCUAUUUCUUGCCCGGCAUGCCACGAGUGAUUACUACGCGCCUUUCUGCUUAUCGGCC
rnacentral:lncRNA from 1 species